AGAGAGGGCUUCCUUGUUGUUUGUCACAGAGAUAAGAAUGAAAGAGGCCAUCAGAGGAGUGCACAGUAUCAUUGAACCAACAGCUAUUGUUUGGCCAGUUUCUCACCCCACAUUACAUUGUUGCUCACUGUUCCUGAAUCCUGGCACAGAGGACUGAGUGUCCAUGCCUUUCUUCUCAUGAUCCCCUCGGCUGGAUGAAAUAACAUUACCUAUGACAUGUGAUCACUUCCUGAUACGGUGGCUGUUUCUAUAUGGCACCCCAUUACUUUUGACCAGGGCCCAUAAGGCUAGCGAAUAGGGUGCCAUUUGGAACAGUCUAUGAGAAGUGCAGACUGGCAACUAAUUAUUUUCGCAAAGAUCUCCCAAUGCACCAGUUAGUAAACUCAAGUUAGGAUUUGGCUAUAUGUAUGUAGCUCUGAUGCUUGUGUGAGUUUUUCGUUUCUAUCUAUUCCGAAGAGUGUAAUUAAAAUGGCAACACUUUGUAAUCGCUGUUGACUGCGGUUAUGGCAAAUGUCUUCAUUUGCCUUGGUGGUUGCAUUGUCUACAGAAAGUUGAACUAAGGUGCUUUCACCCUCAGCUGGUUGACGGCCUCCUGUCACACUAGCCCAAGGGGCUGGAUAUCUGACUCCCCAUUCACAGUGAUCCACUCCCACGUCUCCUUGUGUUGGUGUGUGUAUGUUUGAGCAAAAAAACUCACUACUGUAAGUUGCUCUGGAUAAGAGUGCCUGCUAAAUGACCACAUUUUUGAAAACAAUAUCUAAAUGUGCGUGUGCGUGUGCGUGUGUGUGUGUGUGUGUGUGUGUGUGUGUGUGUGUGUGUGUGUGUGUGUGUGUGUGAACAUUUUGAGGAGCUCAGUCAAUUGGCCUGAGAGAGGAAAACACAAAGACUUUCUUUCUUUAGUUCCUGAAUGGAGGAAUUCUCUGAAGCUCUUUCCCAAUUGGGAAAAUCUCCUCUGUCUGUUCUUUUCCCCCACACAGAUAUGAACGCAAGCACGAACACACACACACACACACACACACACACACACACACACACACACACACACACACACACACACACACACACACACACACACACACACACACACACACACACACACACACACACACAUUUGUUUUUACUAUCCUUGUGGGGACCAAAUAAUUGAUUCCCAUUCAAAAUCCUACUUUCACUAACCCUAAACCAAACCCUUAACCUUAAAGCAAAUGUAAAAAAAUGUUGGCCACAUGCGCCAAAUAUAACUGGUGUGUGGACUUGACCCUGAAAUGCUUGCUUACGAGCCCUUUGUAACAAUGCAGAGCUUAAAGAUUAAAUCAAAGAGUUACACAAUUCAAAUAAAAUACACAAGAAUGGAGCUGUACACAGGGAGUAGCAGUACAAGGUCAAUGUGCAGAAGUAUGAGGUGUUGGAGGUAGAUGCGUCAUCAGGGUGGAUCAGGAGAAGAGUGAAGUGAAGAACAAAGCAGCAGCAGCGAAUGAUGAGUGUAGAAUGUGUGUGUGUGUUGUGUCGGUCUGCGCGUUGUGUGUUAUGUGUGUGUGCGUAUGUGUAGGGUAUGUGAAUGUGUGUGGGAGUGAGUGCGUAUGUGGUUUGUAUAUAUAGUCCAGUGCAGGGGCAGGCAACCCUGUUCCUGGAGUGCCACAGGUCCUGCAGGAUGUUGGUCCAACUAGGCACCACACCUGACCAACUAAGCUAAUUGAUCAGUUCAGUGAUUGCCUAAAUUCAACACACCUGGUUUACCAGGUCGAUUAGAAUCGAGGGACCAGGGUUACUUACCCCCGGUCUAGUGAAUGUGUGUAGAGUCAGUGCUGGUAGUCUGAGUACCAUUCAUUUACUAUUUAGCAUUCUGGCUAUUUAGCAGACUUCUGGCUUGGGGGUAGAAGCUGUCUCGGAGCCUGUUGGUCCGAGAGACGAUGCUCCGGUACCGUUUGCUGGACGGUUACAGAGUGGACAGUAUAUGGCUUGGGUGGCUGGAGUCUUUGGCAAUUUUUUGUGGCUUCCGCUGACACUGCCUGAUAAAGAGGUCCUGGAUGGCAGGGAGCUUGGCUUGAUGUACUGGGCCGUCCGCACCACCCUCUGCAGCGCCUUGUUGUCAAGGGUGGUGCAUUUGCCAUACCAAGCAGUGAUGCAGCCAGUCAAGAUGCUCUCGAUGGUGCAGCUGUAGAACAUUUUCAGGAUCCGAGGUCCCAUGCCAAAUCUUUUCAGCCUCCUGAGGGGGAAGAGACGCUGCCGUGCCCUCUUCACGACUGUGCGGGUGGGUGUGGACCAUAUUAAGUCCUUCGUGAUGUGUACGCCAAAGAACUUGAAGCUCUCGAAUCGCUCCACAGCAGCCCCUUAGAUGUAGAUAGGUGCGUGCUCUUCCCUAUUUCUCAUAUAGUCCAUGAUCAGCUCCUUGGUCUUACCGACGUUGAGGGAGAGGUUGUUGUCCUGGCACCACACUGCUAAGUCUCUGAACUCCUCCCUGUAGGCUGACUAAUCGCACAGGGUGAUCAGGCCUACCACCGCUGUGUCGUCAGCAAACUUGAUGAUCAAAUCAAAUUGUAUUGCUCACAUACACAUGGUUAGCAAAUGUUAAUGGGAGUGUAGUGAAAUGUACAGUAACAUGUAAUCUAGCAAUUCCACAACAACUACCUUAUACACACAAAUCUAAAGGGAUGGAAUAAGAAUAUGUACAUGUAAAUAUAUGGAUGAGCGAUGGCUGAGCGGCAUAGACAAGAUGCAAUAGUAUAUACAUACAGUAUGAGAUGAGUAAUGUAAGAUAUGUAAACAUUAUUUAAGUGGCAUUAUUUAAAGUGAUUAGUGAUCCAUUUAUUAAAGUGGCCAAUGAUUCGAGUCUGUAUGUAGGCAGCAGCCUCUCUGUGUUAGUGAUGGCUGUUUAACAGUCUGAUGGCCUUGAGAUAGAAGCUGUUUUUCAGUCUCUCGGUCCCAGCUUUGAUGGGCCUGUACUGACCUCGCCUUCUGGAUGGUCAGCUGGGUGAACAGGCCGUGGCUCGGGUGGGUGAUGUCCUUGAUGAUUUUUUUUGGCCUUCCUGUGACAUUGGACGCUGUAGGUGUCCUGGACGGCAGGUAGUGUGUUACAAUCUCAGACGACUCUCUGGAAGGCAACCCUUCCCCUAAUUUUGUCUACCUUGUUGUCUAGAGACUGGACAUUGGUGAAUAAUAUACUCAGAAGCGGUGGGUGGUGUGCAGCCUUCGAAGUCUGACUAGGAGGGGUUGGUGUUGGAGUCAUGCGAGGCCAUGAAUUUGUGGGUGAACAGCGAGUACAGGAGUGGACUAAGAACACACCCCUGAUCCCUAACUUUAACUCCAAACCCCUUUAAAGCUAAACCUCACCCUAGUUUUUUAGUUUAGUUUAUUAACUCUACCAUUAGAAAAAAACAAAAACAAGCACACGUACAGCUUGAAAAAGUCAUACAUGCACAUGAGUAAAAUCAUGGAGGAUAACACACAAUAAAGUCUGGGACAUAUUUCCAUUGUGGUCCUCUUGAGACAAGAUGGCUAGACAAGAUCGAACACAGUUAAACACAGUGUGGCAGUGAAAUAGUGAAACCAAAACAUCUCAUCAUUGCAGUUUACAUCAUAGGGGUUAUUCAUACGGGCACAGAAGACAUAAAACAUGUUUUUUACUUUAUGUUUAAAGCUGCCCAGAGAGGACGUUGUUUUUAUAGGCAGAGGCAACUCAUUCCAUUCUGAGGCUCCAGUAUACAAGAAAGUACUGUACCUUUCCCAGCAUUACUCCUGAACCUGUAUAAGCACAGAUAAGCAACACCUGCUGCUAUGAUUGUGUGCAUCCCUAACACAACAGGGAAGUAAUAACUUAGAUAUCUGGGCGCAGGAUCAUAAAUACUCCUGUAAUCCAAACCUAGUCUGGGACACCCUAGCCUCAUCAGGCAGCCAGUUUAGUUCCUGAAAGCAGCUCCUGCCUAUGUGUGCCUAGACUCACCUUCAAUACUACCCUGAUCAGAUUUUUCUGGGCUAUCUGGAGCUUCCCCUUCGUAAGUUUAGAUAAGCCCCCAAACCAGGAAGUGCUAGUGUAGGCAAAGUGGCAUUGAAUGAGGGCAGUGGCUAGCACUUUCAUGGAGUCCUUAUCAAGCAGCUUGGACUUUCUAGCCCAAAACUUCCCUAGCACUUUAUUGGCCAUGUUCACACCUCCCAAGCUUCCAUCAAAGAUCCAUCCCAGGUAGAUAACAGAGGUUUAAGUAGUCAGCACCUCACCCCCUAACUCCACUCUGAUUAUUUCAGAGGACAUACCCUAACUUCUAAGCCUAACCCCAAUUGUAACCCUAUCCCUAAACCUAACCCCUAAGCCUAAAAUAUCCUUUUUACUUGUGGGGACCAGCGAAAUGUCCCCACUUUUGCCUUGUUUAACUAUCCUUUUGAGGACUUCUGGUCCCCAAAAGGAUAGUAAAACCAAAAACACACACACACGACACACACAUCAGGUCCCAUGAGCUCUGUGAGAUUUCAAAUCAACAGCGAUCACAGCAACGGGAUGUCAACUGAUCGAAUUCUGCUCAUCCUCCAAGUCUCAGUUCCAUUCGCGCAAUUCCAUGGUAUUGGAAUUACACUUUGACUCAGAUUUGUCACUUUAAAAUGUAUGCCAAAAAACAAACAUUGAUUUCAAAGUUUAACAAAUCAUACAACUCCAUGCACAAGGACAACUUUGACCAUAUUUAAACAGAAAAUGUCACAAAAACACAUUUACUGGAAGAACUGUGCAAAUGCAACGUUUGGUAACAGAAUUACGGUAAAAUCUGUCUGUUUUUUUUGUGACAACAUUUUCCAAAAACUGUUAGAUAUCUGUUCCAAAUUAAGAUGUCUGCACAAAGAAUGGGGUGUCUGCUAUGACAUGACACCUUGUGUUUGAAAAAUUUAUUUUGUGUAUUUUGAUCAUUGAACUACAGUAGGUGAAGUGGAUUUACAUCCAGUAACUGAAUUACGGUAAAUGAAUUACAUCAUGGGUACCUGAUCUGUACUAUACAGAAAUGCAUAAUUUUGGAUAUGAAUACCAUUACCUUCAUGGUGAUGUAUCCUGAAUAGGUACACAAAGUUAGAAAUUAUUAUCUUAUUAUUAUCUUAUUUAGCAUAUUUGGGUAUUUUUUUAAUAAGCUCUGCCGCCAAACACCACCACAUUUGGUUGGUCCGAACCAGACCAAAUUUGUACCAAUCAUAGACGUCUAUAUUUCACAUCACAGUACAGCACAGUAGAGUAGAGCACAGCAGAGUAGAGCACAGCAGAGGAACAGUACAGUAAAGUACAGUCAAAUCAAAUCAAGCUUUAUUUAUAUUGCACGUUUCAGACAUGAAUGGAACGCAAUGCGCUUUACAUGAACAAACAUAAAUAAAAAACAAAUGAAAAUAAAAACAGAAAUAUUUAUUACACAACAAUCAUAAGAGGAUAAAAAACGAAAUAAUAAUAAUAAUAAAAACUGAAAGACUAAGCACCCUAAGGAACAGCAAAAAAUAAAAAGGUGUGUUUUAAGAUCUCUUUUAAAUAUGUUAAAGUUAAGUUUUGGCCCCCUUUAGGUGCUCGGGCAGACUGUUCCAGAGGCACGGGGCAUAGUAACUAAACCUAUCCUUGCCUCUUGGUCCUAGGCUUUUGGAUAGUUAAAAGGUCAGUGCCAGAGGACCUGAGGUACCUACUGGGUACAUAACUCAAAAGCAUGUCUGAUUGGGGUGCAAAACCGUGGAUUGAUUUAAAAACCAACGGAAUAAUCUAAAACUCACAGGUAGCCAGUACAGAUACCUUAAAACCUGAUGUAAUGUGUGCUCUUCAUCUGGUCUUGGUCAGUACCCGUGCUGCAGAAUUCUGUAUGUUUUGCAGUUGACCAAUGGCUUUUUUUUGGGUAGACUAGACAGCAGAGCAUUACAGUAGUCAAGCGUGCUUUUAAUAAAAGUACGGAUGAGCCUCUCUGUAUCAGUCUGAGAUAGAAACGUCCGUACCUUGGCAGUGUUCCUCGGGUGGUAAAAAUAUAUUUUGGUCACAUUCCCGAUUCGAAAUUGAGUUCAGAAUCCAAAAUGACACCUACAUUUUUUACCUGGUGUGUGAUUUAAAAUGUGCUGCCAGAUUCUCUCUCUGUACUUUGGCUCCAAUAAUAAGUACCACGGUCUUGUCUUGAUUUAGCUGGAGGAAGUUGUGAGUCCUCCAAGUAGUUAAAAAACUAAUACAUUCGAAUAAUGUAUCUGUUGAACUAAAAUCUUCCGGUUGUGGUAAAGUUGUGGAUCGUCUGUGUAGCAGUGAAAAUCAAUGCCUUGCUUUCUGAUAAUACUGCAAUGGGUAACAAAUAUAACCUGAACAGUGGCGUGUAAUCAUGGAUGCCAAGGGAAGUCAAGAUUCUUCCAAAAAAAUGCAUUUGAGCGAAUGAAACAGCGCCCCCUCUGUCUCAGUAUGUUUAGCCCUUCUAUCUGAUGCUGUCUGGUCAAAAAUAGUAUGAUAUUGUUGUUGUUCGUAGCAUUGAAUGCAAGGGAAGCCAGCGAGCAUUUGGCGUCCCUUGAUGAAAAAAAAUAUAAAAUAAUAGCCAGUCAACGUUGAAGUAAACUAGGUGAGCUCAUUACCAGUGACAUUACCAAUUACCAGUGACUUGCUCAAAACGAAAGUGGACAGAUGCUAUGCUACAGGACUGUUUUGCUAACACAGACUGGAAUAUGUUCCGGGAUUCAUCCAAUGGCAUUGAGGAGUGCCCUCAGAUGAACCAUCAAACAAGUAAAGCGUCAAUACAAGAUUAAGAUUGAAUCCUAUUACACAGGCUCUGACGCUUGUCGGAUAUGGCAGGGCUUGAAAACUAUUACGGACUACAAACGGAAACCCAGACGCGAGCUGCCCAGUGACGCAAGCCUACCAGAUGAGCUAAAUACCGUUUAUGCUUGCUUCGAGGCAAGCAACAGUAAAGCAUGCACAAGAGCACCAGCUGUUCUGGAUGACUGUAUGAUAACGCUCCCAGUAGCCGAUGUGUGCAAGACCUUUAAACAGGUCAACAUUCCCAAAGCGGGGCCAGACUGAUUACCAGGACGUGUACUCAAUGUAUGCGGACCAACUGCCAAGUGUCUUCACUGACAUUUUCAACCUCUCCAUGACCGAUUCUGUAAUACCUACAUGUUUCAAGCAGACCACCAUAGUCCCUGUUCCCAAGGAAACUAAGGUAACUUGCCGAAAUGAUUACCGCCCCGUAGCACUCACGUCGGUAGCCAUGAAGUGCUUUGAAAGGCUGGUCAUGGCUCACAUUAACAACAUACUCCCUAUUACCCUAGACCCACUCCAAUUCGCAUACCGUCCCAACAGAUCCACAGAUGACGAAGUCUCAAUCGCACUUCACACUGCCCUUUCCCACCUGGACAAAAGGAACACCUAUGUGAGAAUGCUGUUCAUUGACUACAACUCAGCGUUCAAAACCAUAGUGCCCACAAAGCUCAUCACUAAGCUAAGGUCUCUGGGACUAAACACCUUCCCCCGCAACUGGAUCCUGGACUUCCUGACAGGCCUCGCCCAGGUUGUAAGGGUAGGCAACAACACGUCUGCCACGCUGAUCCUCAAAACUGGGACUCCUCAGGGGAGUGUACUUAGUCCCCCCCUGGACACCCUGUUCACCCACGACUGCGUGGACAAACAUGACUCCAACUACACAACUACAACACCAUCAUUAAUUUUACAGAUGACAACAGUGGUAGGCCUGAUCACCGACAACGAUGAGAGCCUAUAAGGUGGAGGUCAGAGACCUGGCUGUGUGGUGCCAGGACAACAACCUCUCCCUCAACGUGAGCAAGACAAAGGAGCUGAUCGUGGAUUACUGGAAAAGGUGGGCCGAACAGGACCCUAUGAACAUCGACAAGGUUGUAGUGGAGCGGGUCGAGAGUUUCUAGUUCCUUGGUGUCCACAUCAACAACAAACUAGAAUGGUCCAAACACACCAUGACAGUCGUGAAGAGGGCACGACAAAGCCUUUUCCUCCUCGGGAAACUAAAAAGAUUUGGCAUGGGUCCUGAGAUCCUCAAAAGGUUCUACAGCUGCAACAUUGAGAGCAUCCUGACCGGUUGCAUCACUGCCUGGUAUGGCAAUUGCUCGGCCUCUGACCCUAAGGCACUUCAGAGGGUAGUGUGUACAGCCCAGUACAUCACUGGAGCAAAGCUGCCUGCCAUCCCGGACCUCUACACCAGGCGGUGUCAGAGGAAAGCCCUGAAAAUUGUCAAAGACCCCAGCCACCCCAGUCAUAGAUUAUUCUCUCUACUACCACAUGGCAAGCGGUACCGGAGUGCCAAGUCUAGGACAAAAAAGCGUCUCAACAGUUUUUACCUCCAACCAAUAAGACUCCCGAACAGGUAACCAAAUGGUUACCCGGACUAUUUGCAUUGUGUGCCCCCCCCCAACCCCUCUUUUACACUGCUGCUACUCUCUGUUUAUCUUAUAUGCAUAGUCACUUUAACUAUACAUUCAAGUACAUACCACCUCAGUUGGCCCGACAAACCAGUGCUCCCGCACAUUUGCUAACAGGGCUAUCUGCAUUGUGUGCCCCCCCCCCAACCCCUCUUUUACGCUGCUGCUACUCUCUGUUCAUCAUAUAUGCAUAGUCACUUUAACCAUACCCGCAUGUACAUACUACCUCAAUAUGCCUGACUAACCGGUGUCUUUAUAUAGUCUUGCUACUCUUAUUUUCAAAUGUCUUUUUGCUGUUGUUUUAUUUCUUUACUUACCAACACACACACAUACACCUUUUUUCCCCGCACUAUUGGUUAGAGCCUAUAAGUAAGCAUUUCACUGUAAGGUCUACACCUGUUGUAUUCGGCGCACGUGACAAAAACUUUUAUUUGAUUUGAUUUUCCUCCUUCAGAGACUGAAUAGAUUUGGCAUGGGUCCCCAGAUCCUCAAAAAGUUAUACAGCUGCACCAUCGAGAGCAUCCUGACCGGUUGCAUCACCGCCUGGUAUGGAAACUGCUCGGCAUCUGACCACAAGGCACUACAGUGGGUAGUGUAUAUGGCCGAGUACAUUCCUGGGGCCAAGGUUCCUGCCAUCCAGGACCUUUAUAUAAUAGGCGGUGUCAGUGGAAAGCCCAGAAAAUUGACUCCAGUCUCCAGUCACCCAAGUCAUAGACUGUUUUCUCUGACAUGUGGACUGACGAUUUUAGAAAAAUAGGCACGGUGGACUUUUGGUUUAUCUCCCUCUAAAAACAGAAAUAAAUCAUUCUAUAUAACAAACUGGCUUUAUUUUCAAAUUAGUAAGAAUGUCUCACCCCAUGUUCAAGAAUGUCUUUUUUUCCUUUAUUCAGAUUACAAUCGCUCACUUUCGGUUAUUUGAAACGAAAUCAUCUCCGAAAUAUCGUUAUUAUUUUAAAAAGUAAUAGAAAGUCGGUUGGAAUUUCAGUUAAAAAAAAUAAACUUGUCUGUCAGCCCUGCAUUAAAGGCCAAAAAUUGGUUCAAGAAAAUUGUGACCAAAACAGUUACAGCCGUAGAGAUUGCAAAAAAGUUGGGAAGAGAUUUUCGAUGUAGCAAUUCCAUGGCACAUGAUUUAUGAAUUGACACGCAAUUUAAAGUUUAUUGUAACCUACUAUAUUAUAAGUCCACGCCAGUUUCUUCCAGGGUUAGGACUGUAACCACCAAAGGACUUGAAAAUGAGCCGGAACUGAGAGGAUCACCGAAACUAAAGAGCGUACAACCAUGCCGACACCCAUCCGUGGAGAUCAGUGGACAAAGGGCUGGACAACAGGCUGCACUGAAAAACCACAUGGUUCCCAAGAAAGCGGCCAUUGUAAUCAAAGGGGUGCUCAGGGCGGAACCAUUCUGUUCAUCUGAUGAAGGUGCAUAUGGAUCAGAUUCAAACUUUGAAGACCGAGAUCGAGUCAUUGAAGGCAGACCAGCAGAAAGAGCAACAUUCUCUAAGGGCAAAGAUACGGGCGACAACUGAUGCAUUGGUCCAGAGCCAGGCAGUAUUGGCGGAGAUUCAGGCGAAGAAUGGCGCAUUGAAGAGGGCGAGGAACGAGAUGGAGUCACAAUCCGUGCCAGGCACACCGGUGAGCUCUGGAACUCCACCUCUGACAGGCAGUCACAUCAAUCGCUUUAUUGUUGAAUCAUUUAAGGCUCCUUUCUGUGCGGGAGUUCUUUUAAGAUGAAAGUAGGCUAAUGAAGGCAACAAGUUGUUUCUUACUGGAACACCCAAAGUCAUCCACUUGUUAUAAUAGGAUUUGAAGCAUUAGCCUACCUGUGUGUGGUCAACUAUUUCAGCACUGUUUCGCACUGCUCUGAGACAAGCAUGGGGACUAGUCUUGAUAUAAAUCAAUGAUAUUUUUUAUUUUCACUGAAUCUCCGUUUGGGUAUUGGUUAGACUAGAAUUAGGUGUGGAAAAGUUAGGAUUAUUUUUUGCUGUCCGUCAAUGAUUCCCAACCAAAUGUGAAGAGCUUGAGCAAUUUUGACAAAAACUAUGAAAAUGCAUGUAUAUGUUACCCUAAGAGUUGUGCACAAUCUCACAUUCAAUGUAUAUCUGCAGAUUUUGUGAGUUUUUCUGUGUUUUUGUGUGGCUUUACCGUGUUUACUAUGUACUGUAGGCUAUGUGUACUUGUUAGACUGCACAGUAGCCUAAUAAACAUCUUCAUUUGAAAUAUUUUUUUUUACCAUGGUAGAUGCUGUGUUUUUGGUUGAUGGCCAAUAUUAAAAACUGUCAUAUGCA